rnacentral:rRNA from 1 species
AGCCAAACUCUAGCCCAAUCCCACCCAAAUGAAGUAGUUAAAAACUAAACUCACCAUCAAAACCAAAACAUUCAUCUAAGCCCUAGUAUAGGCGAUAGAAAGGGCCCCAGUUGGCGCCAUAGAGACCCGUACCGCAAGGGAAAGAUGAAAUAGCAAUGAAAACCUAAGCCAUAAAUAGCAAAGACCAACCCUUGUACCUCUCGCAUCAUGAUUUAGCAAGAACAACCAAACAAAGUGAACUUAAGUUUGCCGCCCCGAAACCCAAGCGAGCUACUCUCAAGCAGCUAUCUGAGCGAACCCGUCUCUGUCGCAAAAGAGUGGGAUGACUUGCUAGUAGAGGUGAAAAGCCAACCGAGCUGGGUGAUAGCUGGUUGCCUGUGAAACGAAUCUAAGUUCCCUCUCGGUUAUUCCCCAGGGACACCCAAUCAACCCUCCCACGUAAUUAACCAAGAGCAAUUUAAAGGAGGUACAGCUCCCUUAAAAAAGAAUACAAUCUCCUCCAGAGGAUAAUCCGACCCUGACAUAAUCUCUGUGGGCCUUAAAGCAGCCAUCAACAAAGAAUGCGUCAAAGCUCAGCACCUCAAAAAUCUAAAUAACAACGCGACUCCCUCCCCACUAACAGGCCAACCUAUAACAAUAGGAGCAUUAAUGCUAAAAUAAGUAACUACGGACAACCCCUCUUAAGCGCGAACUUACACCCGCACUAAUUAACAGAUGUAUCGAUAUGUAAACCACUACAAGACUUAGUAUCAAACAACAGCUGUUACUGCCAACUCAGGAGCGCCCACUAGAAAGAUUUAAAUCUGUAGAAGGAACUAGGCAAACCCAAGGCCCGACUGUUUACCAAAAACAUAGCCUUCAGCAGGCCAAGUAUUGAAGGUGAUGCCUGCCCAGUGACAUCACGUUAAACGGCCGCGGUAUCCUAACCGUGCGAAGGUAGCGCAAUCAAUUGUCCCAUAAAUCGAGACUUGUAUGAACGGCUAAACGAGGUCUUAACUGUCUCCUACAGACAAUCAGUGAAAUUGAUCUCCCUGUGCAAAAGCACGGAUAAACACAUAAGACGAGAAGACCCUGUGGAACUUAAAAAUUCAGGGCCACCCCACAAACAGCCCACCCGCCAAUCAGGCCCACCCCAACACCCCAACACUGGCCCAUAUUUUUUGGUUGGGGCGACCUUGGAGAAAAACAAACCCUCCAAAAAUAAGACCGUGCACUCUUAACCAAGAGCAACCCCUCAACGUACUAAUAGUAACCCGACCCAAUAUAAUUGACCAAUGAACCAAGCUACCCCAGGGAUAACAGCGCAAUCUCCUUCAAGAGCCCGUAUCGACAAGGAGGUUUACGACCUCGAUGUUGGAUCAGGACACCCUAGUGGUGCAGCCGCUAUUAAGGGUUCGUUUGUUCAACGAUUAACAGUCCUACGUGAUCUGAGUUCAGACCGGAGCAAUCCAGGUCGGUUUCUAUCUAUGACAGGAUUCUUCCCAGUACGAAAGGACCGGAAAAAUGGGGCCAAUACUACCAAGCACGCCCCCCCUAGCAAGUGAUGAAAUCAACUAAAUUAC